rnacentral:rRNA from 1 species
GACGAACGCUGGCGGCAUGCCUAAUACAUGCAAGUCGAGAGAACAGAUGAAGUGCUUGCACUUCUGACGUUAGCGGCGAACGGGUGAGUAACACGUAAGGCAUCUACCUAUAAGCGGGGGAUAACAUUCGGAAACGGGUGCUAAUACCGCAUAAUAUCUUCUUCCGCAUGGAAGAAGAUUGAAAGACGGCUCUGCUGUCACUUAUAGAUGACCUUGCGGUGCAUUGGUUAGUUGGUGGGGUAAUGGCCUAUCAAGACAAUGAUGCAUAGCCGACCGGAGAGGGUGAUCGGCCACAUUGGGACUGAGACGCGGCCCAAACUCCGGCGGGAGGCGGCAGUAGGGAAUCUUCCGCAAUGGGCGAAAGCCUGACGGAGCAAUGCCGCGUGAGUGAAGAAGACCUUCGGGUCGUAAAACUCUUUUAUAAGAGAAGAACAAAUUGUAGAGUAACUGCUACAGUCUUGACGGUAUCUUAUCAGAAAGCCACGGCUAACUACGUGCCAGCCGCCGCAGUAA